UCCCGUCCUGAGGGAGCGCUGGG
rnacentral:miRNA from 1 species